rnacentral:rRNA from 1 species
UUGAACGCUGGCGGCAGGCCUAACACAUGCAAGUCGAGCGCGAAAGGUUUUCGGACUGAGUAAAGCGGCGGACGGGUGAGUAACGCGUGGGAAUCUGCCCAGUAGUGGGGGACAACAGUCGGAAACGACUGCUAAUACCGCAUACGCCCUACGGGGGAAAGGGGGGGAUCUUCGGACCUCUCGCUAUUGGAUGAGCCCGCGUCGGAUUAGCUAGUUGGUAGGGUAAAGGCCUACCAAGGCUACGAUCCGUAACUGGUCUGAGAGGAUGAUCAGUGACACUGGAACUGAGACACCGUCCAGACUCCGACGGGAGGCAGCAGUGGGGAAUAUUGGACAAUGGGGGCAACCCUGAUCCAGCCAUGCCGCGUGUGUGAAGAAGGCCUUAGGGUUGUAAAGCACUUUCAGUGGGGAGAAAGGUUUGUCACCUAAUACGUGAUGAAAUUGAUGUUACCCACAGAAGAAGCACCGGCUAACUCCGUGCCAGCAGCCGCCGUAA